rnacentral:rRNA from 1 species
UACGAAGGGGGCUAGCGUUGCUCGGAAUGACUGGGCGUAAAGGGCGCGUAGGCGGUUCAUACAGUCAGGCGUGAAAUUCCUGGGCUCAACCUGGGGGCUGCGCUUGCGACGUAUGGGCUGGAGUGCGGAAGAGGGUCGUGGAAUUCCCAGUGUAGAGGUGAAAUUCGUAGAUAUUGGGAAGAACACCGGUGGCGAAGGCGGCGACCUGGUCCGUGACUGACGCUGAGGCGCGAAAGCUAGGGGAGCAAACAGG